rnacentral:rRNA from 1 species
UACCAGCUCUCCGAGUUGUAGGGAUGAUUAUUGGGCUUAAAGCGUCCGUAGCUGGCUUAGCAAGUCUCCUGUUAAAUUCAGCGACCUAAUCGUUGAGCCGCGGGAGAUACUACUAGGCUAGGAGGCGGGAGAGGUCGACGGUACUUUCGGGGUAGGGGUGAAAUCCUAUAAUCCCGGGAGGACCACCAGUGGCGAAGGCUGUCGACUAGAACGCGCUCGACGGUGAGGGGCGAAAGCUGGGGGAGCGAACCGGAUUAGAUACCCGGGUAGUCCCAGCUGUAAACUAUGCGGGCUAGGUGUUGGGGUGGCUACGGGCCACUUCAGUGCCGCAGGAAAGCCAUUAAGCCCGCCGCCUGGGGAGUACGGCCGCAAGGCUGAAACUUAAAGGAAUUGGCGGGGGAGCACCACAAGGCGUGAAGCUUGCGGUUC